rnacentral:lncRNA from 1 species
GAGUUUGUGGACCUGAACAUGCAGUGGAAAUGUUCCGCCAGCAACCGCAUCAUGGGUGCCAAGGACCAUGCAUCCAUCCAGAUGAACUUAGCCAAGGUUGACAAGGUUAUAGGCAGGUUUAAUGGCCAAUUUAAAACCUAUAGUGUCUGUAGGACCAUUCUCAGAAUGGGUGAGUCAGAUGACUCCAUUCUCUGACUGGUCAAGACCAACAGCAUCUCAAAGAA